CUUCAAAACUCACAGAAAAUUGGGUACCAGUGUUUAAGGAUAAGAUUCUUCAGGUUGCCAGCAAACAAAAACAAGCUCUUAAUCUACUUCACGACAUAGAAACAAUGUCAGCAGAGAGACAGAGUGACAUCGCCAUGCAACUCCUUCCUGUAAUCCUUCCAACGCAUGUGUACAAAAUUGGAAGAAAAACGUUCAAACCCACUUUCCUAGAAACCAGGAAAGCCUUCAUUGACAUACAGCCUAUUGGGACCAAUAUGGCUGAGUACCUUCGUUCAAAAGAGUCCAUUGAAUCUCCUUACGUGCUCAUGCUUGGAGACAACCACAACUUUCAAGCCUUUGCUAUAAUAAAUGGCACAGCACUUGAGCAAAGCACAUUACUUGCUGCAGUGGACAUUUGCUUUAAAGCAUUUUACAUUUUUGACGUGAACUACCCCAAGCAGUGUUCCCUGGUGUGGCAGUUUCUACAGACUGUGGUGUAUGGACUUCCUGGGGAGGAGACACCGGCAGUAAGAGUUCUGCGAGCAUUCAUUUUUGCUGAAAAACAGUAAUAAUACUGUAACCUUACCGCUUCCUUGGUUUUUGUGUACUUCAACUUGUACUCUGUUACUUCUACAGUCUACUCUGUUUCUUCUACUUCUAUCAGUUACAUUCCUUCAGUUACUUGAAUCGUACUGCGAUUAAUUGUAUUGAUGACCUAUUGUGACAUUUUUUGUCACAUGGUAUGUUAAUGUGAUGC
rnacentral:lncRNA from 1 species